rnacentral:rRNA from 1 species
UGGGGAAUAUUGCACAAUGGGGGAAACCCUGAUGCAGCGACGCCGCGUGAGUGAAGAAGUAUUUCGGUAUGUAAAGCUCUAUCAGCAGGGAAGAAAAUGACGGUACCUGACUAAGAAGCCCCGGCUAACUACGUGCCAGCAGCCGCGGUAAUACGUAGGGGGCAAGCGUUAUCCGGAUUUACUGGGUGUAAAGGGAGCGUAGACGGCAGCGCAAGUCUGAAGUGAAAUGCCAGGGCUUAACCCUGGAACUGCUUUGGAAACUGUGCAGCUAGAGUGCAGGAGAGGUAAGUGGAAUUUCUAGUG